rnacentral:rRNA from 1 species
UAAGGAAUAUUGGUCAAUGGGCGCAAGCCUGAACCAGCCAUGCCGCGUGCAGGAGGACUGCCCUAUGGGUUGUAAACUGCUUUUAUACGGGAAUAACUGCCGGUACGUGUACCGGCCUGAAUGUACCGUAAGAAUAAGGAUCGGCUAACUCCGUGCCAGCAGCCGCGGUAAUACGGAGGAUCCAAGCGUUAUCCGGAUUUAUUGGGUUUAAAGGGUGCGUAGGCGGCAUGCUAAGUCAGGGGUGAAAGACGGUGGCUCAACCAUCGCAGUGCCUUUGAUACUGGCGUGCUUGAAUGUACAUGAGGUAGGCGGAAUGUGGCAAGUAGCGGUGAAAUGCAUAGAUAUGCCACAGAACACCGAUUGCGAAGGCAGCUUACCAAGGUAUUAUUGACGCUGAUGCACGAAAGCGUGGGGAUCGAACAGG